UACGAGGGGGGCUAGCGUUGCUCGGAAUCACUGGGCGUAAAGCGCACGUAGGCGGAUUGCUAAGUCAGGGGUGAAAUCCUGGAGCUCAACUCCAGAACUGCCUUUGAUACUGGCGACCUUGAGUCCGGGAGAGGUGAGUGGAACUGCGAGUGUAGAGGUGAAAUUCGUAGAUAUUCGCAAGAACACCAGUGGCGAAGGCGGCUCACUGGCCCGGUACUGACGCUGAGGUGCGAAAGCGUGGGGAGCAAACAGG
rnacentral:rRNA from 1 species